AUUACGGGGUAGCAAUAUUCCGUAGUUGGAGCGGCGCAAGGGUGCGUAACACGUGGGUAAUCUGCCAUGAAGUUUGGGAUAACUUGCUGAAAGGCGAGCUAAUACCGGAUGUGACAACUGGGAGGCAUCUUUUGGUUGUUAAAGUUGGGGACCGUAAGGCCUGACGCUUCAUGAUGAGCCCGCGGCCUAUCAGCUAGUUGGUGAGGUAACGGCUCACCAAGGCUAAGACGGGUAGCUGGUCUGAGAGGACGACCAGCCACACUGGAACUGAGACACGGUCCAGACACCUACGGGUGGCAGCAGUCGAGAAUUUUUCACAAUGGGCGCAAGCCUGAUGGAGCGACGCCGCGUGGGGGAUGAAUGGCUUCGGCCCGUAAACCCCUGUCAUUUGCGAUCAACCGUUAUUAUUUAAAAGAUGAUGACCUGAUAGUAGCGAAAGAGGAAGGGACGGCUAACUCUGUGCCAGCAGCCGCGGUAAUACAGAGGUCCCAAGCGUUGUUCGGAUUCACUGGGCGUAAAGGGUGCGUAGGUGGCGGGGUAAGUCGGAUGUGAAAUCUCGGAGCUCAACUCCGAAAUGGCAUUGGAAACUACCCUGCUAGAGGGUCGGAGGGGGGACUGGAAUACUUGGUGUAGCAGUGAAAUGCGUAGAUAUCAAGUGGAACACCAGUGGCGAAGGCGAGUCCCUGGACGACUCCUGACACUGAGGCACGAAAGCUAGGGGAGCAAACAGGAUUAGAUACCCUGGUAGUCCUAGCCGUAAACGGUGCACGUUUGCUGUAAAAGGAAUCGACCCCUUUUGUGGCGUA
rnacentral:rRNA from 1 species